rnacentral:rRNA from 1 species
GACGAACGCUGGCGGCGUGCCUAAUACAUGCAAGUAGAACGCACAGUUUAUACCGUAGCUUGCUACACCAUAGACUGUGAGUUGCGAACGGGUGAGUAACGCGUAGGUAACCUGCCUGGUAGCGGGGGAUAACUAUUGGAAACGAUAGCUAAUACCGCAUAAUAUUAAUUAUUGCAUGAUAAUUAAUUGAAAGGUGCAAUUGCACCACUACCAGAUGGACCUGCGUUGUAUUAGCUAGUAGGUGAGGUAACGGCUCACCUAGGCGACGAUACAUAGCCGACCUGAGAGGGUGAACGGCCACACUGGGACUGAGACACGGCCCAGACUCCUACGGGAGGCAGCAGUAGGGAAUCUUCGGCAAUGGACGAAAGUCUGACCGAGCAACGCCGCGUGAGUGAAGAAGGUUUUCGGAUCGUAAAGCUCUGUUGUAAGAGAAGAACGGGUGUGAGAGUGGAAAGUUCACACUGUGACGGUAUCUUACCAGAAAGGGACGGCUAACUACGUG